UGGCUCUAAGAGUCGUUUCCUAGUUCCUGCAGGAGCGUUGUAGGUUCCCUAGAUUAGGUUGAGAAGUGCAAGUCGGGGAUGCUAAACAUUCUUCUUAGGGGGGGCUACCUAAGAAAAUCCCUAUUGAUUCCCUAUGGUUUCAGUACGCCGCUUUAGUUAGUAGGAGCUCUCGUGCAGGCCUGUGACGCUAUUUGGACAGUCACCUAAUUACUAAUCACGUUCCCUAGCCGACGGUGACCUGCAAGGCAGGAACCGGCUGACAUGUGGGAGACUCUGCUUAAGCCGGUGUCUCCGAAGUAGAGCGGGAUCGUCUGCGUCGGACACCGAUGGGUGGUGCGUUCUGAUCAGGUUGGAAGAGGCAUUGAGAAACAAGCACAGCCCAGAAUUAAUGGACAGAUGAGCCAAUGUGUACCACAAGGACAGGCACUGAAAGCAGCUAAACUACGCCUGGAAGAGAACCGCCCAGCUCUGGGGGAGCCCCGGAAGGGCGAC